rnacentral:misc_RNA from 1 species
UUAUAAUUUAGUCGAUUAUGCAGUUUUAUCAUUUUAUUUUUUAUUACUGGUAAUUAAUUUCGAUAACCAGCCAUUGUUGUUUUGUUUUGAAAAAAUCAAAAUGGCGAUUUGAUUUGGAGUUUUUCUUUCUUAUAAUGAAGCGAAGUGCCAAGUGCUAGCUAACUUGGCGAAUUUCGCGUACGAUCCUAUAAACUAUAGCUUUAUCAGGGAAGUUGGCGUUUUGGACAUCUUUGUACAUGUUUUAAAAAAGGAAACAAGCACUAAGUUGCUGCGAUUUGCUAUUGCGGGAAUAUGCAAUUUGUGUAUUGAUCCAUUGAAUGCUGAAUACAUAUUAACAUAUCUGGGCUUGAAAUAUAUUAUUGCCUUGCUGAAUUCAAGUGAUACAACUAUAUUAGCAGACACCAUUACUACACUUCUCUAUGUAUAUAAUGAACACACAAAGCCAGAAAUAAUUACUCCAGAUGUGAUUAAAGUGUUACAACAAUUAAAAGACACUGAAGAUCCCAGACUGUCUAACUUGGCAACUAUAUUUCUACAAGAUGUCUCCCAAAUAAACUAGAAUAAAAAUUGAGUUGUAAACUGGAUAAACAUGUUGUCUAACAGGUUUCCAUACAUAGUGGUGAACAACAAGAACUACCAAAAGAUAUGCAAAAUACACUCAACAUCCUUCAGUAACAGUGCUUUCAAAGCAGGGGACAAAAUCCGAAUACAGAAAACAUUAACCCAAAAGGACCUUGAUGCAUUUUCGAACCUGACUGGAGACCACAAUUAUCUGCACCAGAAUAAUGGCAACAAAAGGCCAAUAGUUCAUGGGGCACUAUUGAAUGGCUUAGUGGCCGGUCUUAUUGGUACACACCUGCCAGGUCCAGGCACCGUCUUAGUGUCUCAAACAAUGAAAUUUCCAAAUAAAUGUUUUGUCGGAGAAAAAUUAACAAUUAGUGUGGAGUUGGUUGAUGUGAGAAAAAUUCUGAAAGUGAAGUUUUAUUGCAUAGUUGAAGAAGAAAAGAAGGUUGUGUUUGAGGGUGAGGCUAAACUAAUGUUAGCCAAAGACAUUUAGUUCACAUGGAAUAAGUUAAACUUGUUUUAAAAUAUUUCAUACUUAAAGUAUAAGUGUAAAGUUUAUAUUUAUUGAGGGAAUUCUUAUAAUGAUCAAAUCUUUAAAAAUUAACUAUAAGUGAUAGAAAAAUGUGAUGAAUGUCACAUGUGCCAACUUUACAAUUAAAAAUAUAUUAUUUAAUAUAAAGUACAAUAUAGGUUUAAUUGAAAAAGAAAAAUAAAAUGUUAAUGAAUAAUAUUUAAUUCUCUAAUAUUAGACUAGACCUCAAUUACUGUUUCAAAUUCUGUCCAUUUGAUGUCUAUUGUAAAACAUUUUAAGCAUAUUAUAAUUACUUGUAAGACUGAUAGUCUUUUAUAUUACCAUUUAAAUCCAUAAUAUAAAGCUGCUGCUGGAAAUUUAUGUGUAUGCAAUAUGUGUAGCUCUUAAAUUGUAUUUUGCAAUAUUGUGGGAAGUUAUACUUGCUUGGGGCAUUUUUGUUUACACACAUAUAUGUUCUAUUAUUUCUUGCCAGCUCUCAGUUUUGUUCAUGAUUAUUUAAACAAUAUACUAAAGUUUGUUGGUAAAUGUUGUGCAAGCAUUUUUUAUCAAAAUCAAUUAAAAUGUCAUUGACUUCUAAAUUGCUGAUUGACUUAUUGGCAAUGCCUGAGUCAGUUAGCAGACAUUUUAAAAUUAUGCCAUAUAAGCAUUUAAAUGUUAAUUGUAUAUCUUAAGUGAAGCCUUCGUUAUUUAGAUUUUGUUUUUAAUGCAUUGUAAGAUCUUAAUAAUUUAUUAAUAACUGGAGUACAUAGGGGCUUGUGUAGGCUGUAUCGUGAUUUUUGUUACUUGUUUACCUAUAUUGUUGAUUUUCAUUGUUUUUUUUCUUUGUCACUACUAUUGUGAUUGUUUUUAUACUGAAACUUUUUUCAUUAAGGCAUUGCAUGAAAAAGUUUUUUACAUUUUAACUGAGCAUGUACUUUGUUGUACUAUUACACAAUUUGCUUGUUA